rnacentral:lncRNA from 7 species
AAAGCAUCCAGUCACCGUGGGAGAGAUCCUGGGGUUUCAUCUCCGUUAGCUUCACCCCUCCUGCGGCGUGCAGAGCUGCCCACGCUGAGCUGUUCGGUGCCAGCCCACCCUUCUCCUACGCACGCGGUGACGCUCGAGGCUGCACGGGGAGGCGGGACCUCCUGACCGGCGUUUCCAUGAGUCAGCAUCCUCCGACCACCCCUCAGCAAGGGCACUGCACGGCAGAUGCUCGGAGGAGGAGACGCCUCUGCACACAGCAGCAGCUUUGCUGCAGAUCCCAGUGUGUGUCAACUCUGCUGGAUAUAAAUAGGCAGUGAAGUCACGAUGCCUUCAGAAGAACCAGAUCUGUAUCUCCUGCUUUAUCGCCAUACCAUGCAGUGAGCACUCUGGGCUGUUUGGAAGGAGAGCGUUUGCAUGGGACUUUGAUGUCUCCAUCUAUUCUGGAAGCCACUUGGCCUCCUGGAGCACCAGAGGUACAGCUGAAGCCAACAUCCCAAGCCUAAGCCACCACCACCUCAUUGCUUUGUAUCCUUGGCACCAAGUGUCACCAUAAGUUGCAACUGCAAUAAGAUUGGCCGGCCUCAGCAUGACCUUCCAUGGGCAUUUGUUUGUGUGCUUGGGAACAACGUGGUAGCUGCAAGGAGAUGCCAAUUUUACAUAGCAAGAGGAUGCUACACAGCAGGGAGGGGCAGCGUGCCCGGCCAGAACCAGGGGCUGGUGUUUGGGCCUUUUGUUUCCAGAUUGAAGGUGAGGACAUUUUCUCCCUUCUACUUAAUCAAAAACUUGCAGUGAAAAAAACAACCCAUGUGGAAACUUCAGCCUCGCCCACGAGGAAGGAACCUUCCAUCAACAAGAUAAUGCACGCGGGGGGAAAAAACAUGUCGUUUUCUGCUUGGCCGAGGGCUGCGGGGCAGGAGCACCUCCGGCCAGAGGCUGAGCCAUGGUCUUUCUGCAGCAGGAGAGCGGCAAGGAGGAUAUCUGCAUUACUGCUCCAUCGCUCGCUGGGAACCAGCACUACUGCUGGGACAAUGGGCUCAGCCCACGCCUUGCCAAUGUGGCUCCGCGGCAGCACUCCCGGAUUUAUUUUUGUCCAGGCUUGGAGCGGGAUGCAGAGAUCAGGUGACGGUGCCCGAGGAGUGCUUGGCACUGCUUGUCCCGGUGCCGUGUGUGCGUGCUUCCAUGGAGCAGUGAGCAGGCUGGCUGGCGGCCGGGCACCGUGCUCUGCUGCCUGGGUUUGCUCCUCUCCGCUCAGCUCUUGCUCAUGGGAUGUGGGAUCCUCCCAUCCCCCUGCACUCGUGUGUGUCUGGGGGUCGAAACCUAUGGUGUUGCCUUGACACUGAAAUUAGGAGCUGGCAACGAGUUCGUGGUGAAAUAGAAUCAUGGGUGUUAAGGGAGGUGACCAAGGUGACACGCAAAGAACUUCCCAAUGACCAGUCUCUAUCAC